rnacentral:ncRNA from 17 species
CUCUUAUCGAGAGCAGGCGGAGGGAUUUGGCCCGAUGAAGCCCAGCAACCGACCGUAAUUCCGUUGUGAAACGGGGCGCAGCAAGAUUUGCGCCGGUAUGUAAAUACCUUUAAGGCACGGUGCUAAUUCCAACAGAGGAGAUUUUUCUUUUCUGGGAGAUAAGAG